AUUGAACGCUGGCGGCAGGCCUAACACAUGCAAGUCGAACGAGUGGCGGACGGGUGAGUAAUGUCUGGGAAACUGCCUGAUGGAGGGGGAUAACUACUGGAAAAGGUAGCUAAUACCGCAUACCAUCAGAUGUGCCCAGAUGGGAUUUGCUUGUUGGUGGGGUAACGGAUCACCAAGGAGACGAUCCCUAGCGGGUCUGAGAGGAUGACCAGCCAGCUUGUAACUUAGACACUGGCCAGACUCCGACGGGAGUCAGCAGUGGGGAAUAUUGCACAAUGUGCGCAAGCCUGAUGCAGCCAUGCCGCGUGUAUGAAGAAGGCCUUCGGGUUGUAAAGUACUUUCAGCGUGGAGGCGUUACCCGCAGAAGAAGCACCGGCUAACUCCGUGCCAGCAGCCGCGGUAAUAC
rnacentral:rRNA from 1 species